GAUGAAGAACGCAGCGAAAUGCGAUACGUAAUGUGAAUUGCAAAUUCAGUGAAUCAUCGAGUCUUUGAACGCACAUUGCGCCCCCUGGUAUUCCGGGGGGCAUGCCUGUCCGAGCGUCAUUGCUGCCCUCAAGCACGGCUUGUGUGUUGGGCCCCGUCCUCCGAUCCCGGGGGACGGGCCCGAAAGGCAGCGGCGGCACCGCGUCCGGUCCUCGAGCGUAUGGGGCUUUGUCACCCGCUCUGUAGGCCCGGCCGGCGCUUGCCGAUCAACCCAAAUUUUUAUCCAGGUUGACCUCGGAUCAGGUAGGGAUACCCGCUGAACUUAAGCAUAUCAUAAGCGAGGA
rnacentral:misc_RNA from 1 species